rnacentral:rRNA from 1 species
AUAACCAUUGGAAACGAUGGCUAAUACCGCAUAAUAGCUUCGGCUCAAAGAGGGGGACCUUCGGGCCUCUCGCGUCAGGAUAUGCCUAGGUGGGAUUAGCUAGUUGGUGAGGUAAGGGCUCACCAAGGCGACGAUCCCUAGCUGGUCUGAGAGGAUGAUCAGCCACACUGGAACUGAGACACGGUCCAGACUCCUACGGGAGGCAGCAGUGGGGAAUAUUGCACAAUGGGCGCAAGCCUGAUGCAGCCAUGCCGCGUGUAUGAAGAAGGCCUUCGGGUUGUAAAGUACUUUCAGCAGUGAGGAAGGUGGUAGUGUUAAUAGCACUAUUAUUUGACGUUAGCUGCAGAAGAAGCACCGGCUAACUCCGUGCCAGCAGCCGCGGUAAUACGGAGGGUGCGAGCGUUAAUCGGAAUUACUGGGCGUAAAGCGCAUGCAGGUGGAUGAUUAAGUCAGAUGUGAAAGCCCGGGGCUCAACCUCGGAAUNGCAUUUGAAACUGGUUAUCUAGAGUACUGUAGAGGGGGGUAGAAUUUCAGGUGUAGCGGUGAAAUGCGUAGAGAUCUGAAGGAAUACCGGUGGCGAAGGCGGCCCCCUGGACAGAUACUGACACUCAGAUG